rnacentral:lncRNA from 1 species
GGCCCCAAUAACUUGUCCCAGAGGGGAUGCCCAGGGCUCAGUUGCCUGAGGACAGCAGUGCAGUUGACAUGGAUAUUCUCUUUCCUCUGGACAGUGUUAUUGGUACAGAGCUGUGCCCCAGCCCCAUUCCCCAGAUCAUCCAUUUCGUCCUCUUUGUUGUGUUCAGCCUGGUGAUCCUGAUUAUCUUACGCCUCUACAUUCCCAGGGAGCCGUCCUCAGUGCCUCCCAGAGAGGAGGACAGCGAGAAUGAUCAAGCUGAAGUGGGGGAAUGGCUCAGGAUCGGAAAUAAAUAUAUCACUUUGAAAGAUUACAGAAUUCUCUUGAAAGAACUGGAGAACCUUGAGAUCUACACUUUCCUGUCGAAAAAGUGCCUGAAGAAGCUCUCUAGGGAGGGCAGCUCCCAUCACCUUCCACGCCAAGUCCGCCCAGGGCCAGUGUACAAACCAGCACCUGCUAGGAACCACCGGCCACGUGGGGGGCGUGGGAAAGCUUCUCCCACCAGCUUCCAUGUGUCCCCACGGGCUCCCCUGGCUCCUCUGGCCUCCAUGCCGUCAUCAGUCCCGAAGACCUCCGUAGAGUCCUUGGGGUCUCCAUCAUCCCUGAGCUCCUCCAAGCCACGAGAGCCUCUGUGUCCCCUGAAGCACCCUUCACACCAGCCACCUGCGAGCACCCUAUCACCAAACCCGACCAGCUCCACAGAAUCCUUGGGGGAGACCCCACAUGCAGGCAGGUGGAGGCAGGGGUCCCGCUUUCCUCAGCCUGGAUGUGCCAACGCUGCUGGACGCAUAAGACACCAAAAUCCCAGACACUCCCAUGGACACCGAAUAUCCGACAUCCACGAACAAUUGGGAAUCUCCUGAGGACAACUUGGAGAUGGAGUCUCACUCUGUUGCUCAGGCUGGAGUGCAGUGGCACCAUCUUGGCUCACCACAACCUCCGCCUCCCGGAUUCAAGCCAUUCUCCUGCCUCAGCCUCCCGAGUAACUGGGAUUACAGGCUUGUGCCACCGCACCCAGCUAAUUUUUGUAAUUUUAGUCGAGAGAAGGUGUCACCAUGUUAGCCAGGCUUGUCUUGAACUCCUGACCUUGAGAUAUCUGCCCACCUCAGCCUCUCAAAGUGCUGGGAUUAUAGGCUUGAGCCACCACGGCUGGAUGAAUCAUAAAUUGUAAACCUGAAUAAAAUGCUGCAACCUCCAAUGAGAGGAAAAUA